GUCUGAUUACAAGUGAAGGCCUCACGUUCCUCCCUCACAGGCACACACGGGGCCGCAGGUCUCUCCUUGCCUUUUCCUCACAGAUUCGUCAGGGCCAGCUCUGCUCUGCCCCCGCCAUGCAGGGCCUCGGGGACAGUCUGUCCCCAGCCCACAGUGCCUGCCAGUGCCAGCGGCUCCAGGACCGGUGAGGGGAGAAGGCUCCUCUGCCCCCACACUGCUUCUGAGGGGAGGAGAGCCCUCAGAGCUGGGCUGGAGCUGUCAGCCAGGAGAUGAACACAGAGAGAUGGCCCUGGAGUAUUCCACGCUGAUACACAGAUGGAGUCAGAGCUGUUUCUCUCACAGACACGAGUGAACACCUGUUGACAUGUGUGACCUCCCCAGCCUGGCUGUUGGUGAAUAUACCCAGGCUAAAGUGAUUUUAUGCCACCAUACAAAACUUUCAUCAUCGAAGAAUCUUGAUGUCCUAGCAGUGCACGGAGUAGUAUAAAUGAAGACUGUUCAAGAAUAUGUAAGAAGUACUUUGAGAGAAAAGAAAAUGAGGAGAGGCCAACAGGAAUGUUUUAGUGGUGUUAUUAAUGUUGUCUACGUGCAAGACAUGGUGGUACAGAAUCUGUUAGAAUUGGUUUUAGAGGGGUUAAAAUAUGUGUUUGGGGCUCUUUAUAUAUUUUUUCCUACAUUUUUAUUUGACUCUUUGGUUUACCUGCUGUUUACACAUGAAAAUCUCAUUUAUUUUUUAAUUUUAAAAAUGUGCUGCUCCAUUAUGUAUUUAGUCUAUCAAAUAUAUCAUUAUGAAACACUUCUAUCUGGGUUAGAUUCAAGUGUGUGGCAGACUAUGGGCUGUUGCUAUGGCUUCAGUCUUUACAUAAAACUUACACUACUUUGCAUUGUAGUCUUCAAAAAAUAAUCCUUUCCUACAAUAAACAGCUGGGUUA